GAAGCAAUAGCACAGGUGGGAGAGCAAUCGCCCGGCAAGCGAGAGGUCGUGGGUUCAAUUCCCACUCGAUUCG
rnacentral:tRNA from 1 species